rnacentral:lncRNA from 1 species
GAUCCCGCAGCAGCGAGGAGACCUGAAGACCAGAGGAAACACAGCAAGUUGGAAUGCAGUGGCACGAUCUCGGCUCACUGCAACCUCUGCCUCCUGGGAUCAAGCAAGAUUGUCCUGCCUCAGCCUCCUGAGUACCCGGGAAUACAGGUGCCCACCACCACACCUGGCUAACUUUCGUAUUUUUAGUAGAGACCAAGCUGGUCUCAAACUCCUGACCUCAGGCGAUUCACCCGCCUCAGUCUCCCAAAGUGCUGGGAUUACAGGCGUGAGCCACUGCGCUCAGCCCUUUUUAUUUAAAAAAAAAUUUUUUUUGAGGCAGGGUCUCGCUCUGUUGCCCAGGCUGGAGUGCAGUGGUGAGAUCUGGGCUGACCACAACCUCAACCUCCUGGGCUCAAACAAUCCUCCCACCUCGGUCUCCCUAGUACUAGGACUACAGGCGUGCACCACCACACCAAGCUAAAUUUUGUAUUUUAAUAAAGACAGGGUUUUGCUAUGUUGCCGAGGCUCGUCUCAAACUCCUGGGCUCAAGUGAUCUGCCCGCUUCAGCCUCCGAAAGUGCUGGGAUUACAGAUGGGCACCACAAUGCCCAGCUGUAAUAUCCUUUAUACUAAAUGGACUAAUGUUAAGUAAAUGGUUUCCCUGAGAUCUGUGAGCCCUCCUAGAAAAUUAAUCAGACCUGAGGAGAGGAUGUGGAAACCCCAAAUUUAGAGCUGGUCAGAAGUACAGGUCACCACCUGGCCCUUGAGAUGGUCAUCUGAAAUGGAAGGAUCUUGUGGGACUGUUCCCUUAGCCUGUGGGAUCUGAUGCCAUCUCCAGGUAGGUGAUGUCAGAACUGAACUGAACUGUAGGACACCCAGGUGGUGUCUAAUGGGGAACUGCUUGGUGUAUGGAGAAAAACCCCACACAUCUGGUGUCAGAAAUGUUCUUUAUUGAGUGCUGAGUGGUGUGAGAGUAGGAGAGACCUCGUCUAGGGAGAGGGAGAAUUUUAUCUUUGCAAAAUGUCACUGUUUGCCCUCAUUAUUCAAAUGAAAAAAAAAAAAAAAACUUUCAGCAUAUGCUGCUUUAAUUUGGCAUCUGUCCAUCCCAUGAAAGUCGUUGACAUCGCCCACACCACACUUGCCUGGACAGCCAGGUCCUGUCUCCCAAGACCCUGCACUCUACUGUACCCUCCUUUAUCCCUAAUCAAUCCUGUUCCACCUCUUCCUCCUCAAGAUAGACACAAAACAUAUUCUCCUAUAUCCUUACCCCAGCUUUCAACCAACCAUCUUAUUACACCCUGGAAAUGUCUACAUUGCAGAAAUUACUUAUGACCAUGUUGUUUUCGGUCAUAAACUGUAAAUUUCUUUUUUCUUUGCUUUACCUGUUUUUUCAGACAGAGUAUCACCCUGUUACCCAGGCUGAAGUGCAGUGGUAAGACCUCGGCUCACUACAACCUCUGCCUCCUAGGUUCAAGAGAUUCUCCUGCCUCAGCCUCCCAAGUAGUUGGGAUUAAACUAAGCUAAACUAUGGGGUUUGGAGGGCUCCUGGAUUAUUGAACACAUAAAGGUUCCUGGAGAGUGGUGCAGCCAGAGAGGGCAUGGAAGCUCUGCACCCCUCCCCCAUCCCUUGUCCUAUGCAUCUCUUCCAUCUGGCUGUUAAUCUGUAUCCUUUGCAAUAUCCUUUAUAAUAAAUGGGUA